GGUAUGUUAACUUAGUUCUAUUCCUUUAUUCAAUUAACGUUGAAGCUCGAAAUAUUAACUAGUCAUCGAUUUCUUUCACAGGCAGCACUUGAUGUAUUCACGGUGGAGCCACCACCAAAAGAUAGUAAACUAGUGCAACAUGAGAAUGUCACUGUUACACCUCAUCUUGGAGCAAAUUCCUUUAUUCAACCAACUUUGAAGCUCGAAAUAUUAACUAGUCAUAGCUUUCUUUCACAGGCAGCACUUGAUGUAUUCACGGUGGAGCCACCAACAAAAGAUAGUAAACUAGUGCAACAUGAGAAUGUCACGGUUACACCUCAUCUUGGAGCAAGCACAAAAGAAGCACAGGUACAAUUGACAUUCACACUCAAAUUAUUUGCACCUCCUUGUCAUAUUGACUUUGUUGGAGUAUAUUGUUUCCUGCUCCUUGAGUUAUGUGUUCGAUAUCUAUUUUCUUAGGA
rnacentral:lncRNA from 1 species